rnacentral:rRNA from 1 species
UACGUAGGGUCCGAGCGUUGUCCGGAAUUAUUGGGCGUAAAGGGCUCGUAGGCGGUUUGUCGCGUCGGGAGUGAAAACUCAGGGCUCAACCCUGAGCGUGCUUCCGAUACGGGCAGACUAGAGGUAUGCAGGGGGAGAACGGAAUUCCUGGUGUAGCGGUGGAAUGCGCAGAUAUCAGGAGGAACACCGGUGGCGAAGGCGGUUCUCUGGGCAUUACCUGACGCUGAGGAGCGAAAGUGUGGGGAGCGAAGCAGG